GUGUCAGCAGCCGCGGUAAGACGAGGGAUCCUAGCGUUGUUCGGAAUCAUUGGGCGUAAAGCGGGUGCAGGUGGCUCUGUAAGUCAGGUGUGAAAGCCCUGGGCUUAACCCAGGAAGUGCAUUUGAUACUGCAGAGCUUGAGUGCUGGAGAGGCUACUAGAAUUCCUGGUGUAGUGGUGAAAUACGUAGAUAUCAGGAGGAAUACCGGAGGCGAAGGCGGGUAGCUGGCCAGACACUGACACUCAGACCCGAAAGUGCGGGGAUCAAACAGGAUUAGAUACCCUGGUAGUCCGCACCAUAAACGAUGGAUACUUGUUGUUGGAGGUAUUGACCCCUUCAGUGACGUAGCUAACGCGUUAAGUAUCCCGCCUGGGGAGUACGGUCGCAAGAUUAAAACUCAAAGAAAUUGACGG
rnacentral:rRNA from 1 species